UUUCCGUAGGUGAACCCGCGGAAGGAUCAUUAUUGUAUAACCGAGGUGCGAGGGCUGUCGCUGACCCGAAAGGUCGUGCACGCCCGAGUGCCCUCACACACAUCCAUCUCACCCCUAUGUGCACCACCGCGUGGGUCCCCCUUUGGCUUGUUCGGAGGGGGGCUUACGCUUUCACACAAACUUUGUAUGCAGUGUAGAAUGUAUUUUUUGUUUUUGCGAUCACGCAAUCAAUACAACUUUCAACAACGGAUCUCUUGGCUCUC
rnacentral:misc_RNA from 1 species